rnacentral:rRNA from 1 species
CACAGAGGUCCCAAGCGUUGUUCGGAUUCACUGGGCGUAAAGGGUGCGUAGGCGGUCGGGUAAGUCUGAUGUGAAAUCUCACAGCUUAACUGUGAAACUGCAUUGGAUACUAUCCGGCUUGAGGAAUGGAGGGGAGACUGGAAUACUUGGUGUAGCAGUGAAAUGCGUAGAUAUCAAGUGGAACACCAGUGGCGAAGGCGAGUCUCUGGACAUUUCCUGACGCUGAGGCACGAAAGCCAGGGGAGCAAACGGG